GAUGAACGCUGGCGGCGUGCCUAAUACAUGCAAGUAGAACGCUGAAGGAAGGAGCUUGCUCUUUCCGGAUGAGUUGCGAACGGGUGAGUAACGCGUAGGUAACCUGCCUGGUAGCGGGGGAUAACUAUUGGAAACGAUAGCUAAUACCGCAUAACAGUAGAUGUUGCAUGAUAUCUACUUAAAAGGUGCAAUUGCACCACUACCAGAUGGACCUGCGUUGUAUUAGCUAGUUGGUGAGGUAACGGCUCACCAAGGCGACGAUACAUAGCCGACCUGGACGGGUGGUCGGCCAAACUGGGACUGGGAAACGGCCCAGACUUCUACGGGGGGGAGCAGUAGGGAAUCUUCGGCAAUGGACGGAAGUCUGACCGAGCAACGCCGGGUGAGGGAAGAAGGUUUUCGGAUCGGAAAGCUCUGUUGUAAGGGAAGAACGAGUGUGAGAGUGGAAAGUUCACACUGUGACGGUAUCUUACCAGAAAGGGACGGCUAACUACGUG
rnacentral:rRNA from 1 species